GUUAAUUGUUAGUUCACGUUAGUUAAUAGUGCAUUAACAAAUGUUUACAACUUUUAUUUUUUUUAAAACGUAAUAAAUGCUGUAAAGGUAUUGUUCAUUGUAACUUCAUGUUAGUUAAUAGUGCAUUAACAAAUGUUUACAACUUUUAUUUUAAAAAAUGUAAUAACUGCUGUAAAGGUAUUGUUAAUUGUUAAUUCAUGUUAGUUAAUAGUGCAUUAACAAAUGUUUACAACUUUUAUUUUUUUUAAAACGUAAUAAAUGCUGUAAAGGUAUUGUUAAUUGUUAAUUCAUGUUAGUUAAUAGUGCAUUAACAAAUGUUUACAACUUUUAUUUUAAAAACAUAAUAAAUGCUGUAAAGGUAUUGUUAAUUGUUAAUUCAUGUUAGUUAAUAGUGCAUUAACAAAUGUUUACAACUUUUAUUU